AUGGAGGCUCCGUUGUGUGGUUUGGUGGACGCCAUGUCCAAACUUCCCGCAAAGCUUGAUGGGCUAUUGCGUUAUCGCCACAUGCUGCCCAAUGGAGCACAAGAUGAGAUACCUCUCAUCAAGAAAGAUCUCCAGAAGAUGCUUACCAUUCUUCAGGAUGACGGCAACUCUAGAGCAAUGGUCAAAUGCUUGAUGAAAGAGUUGCGUGAACUGUCGUAUGACAUCGAUGACUGCAUCGACCAUUAUGAGCACGCGGCUGAUUCCAUGAGUCGUCGAUCUUACUUCAGAAUUCCUCGCCGUCAGAAUAGUUUUACUCUUAGAAACACUAAGACCACUUGGCUUCCUGAGAAGCUGAAACUGCGCCUAUGGAUGGCCAACAAGAUCAGAGAAUUUAGCGUGCGCUCGCAGGAGGCACUUCAACACUUCUAUGACUAUGGUGGCACGAGCACUGCUACUAGAUGUGAUGUGUCUUUUGGAUCUUGGCAUCCCACUCUGUACUAUGAGGAGCAUGCCAAGCACCUGCUUGUUGGUAUCGAUGCCCUUAUGAGCAAGCUCGAAGCGUCACUGAGCAAGGAUGAAGAGCACAAGCUCAAGGUGGUAUCCGUUCUUGGAUCAGGAGGGGUUGGUAAGACCACGCUUGUCAAUGAGCUGUACCGUAAAAUUGAAGGGCAAUUUGAAUGCCGGGCAUUUGUGCGGACGUCAAAAAGGCCUGAUAUCAGGAGGCUUCUCAUUAGCUUGCUCUCACAAGUUGCGCCGAACCAUCUACCUGACAAUUGGAAGGUGCAUAACCUAAUUGGCAGUAUCAGAACACAUCUCCAAGAUAAGAGGUAUUUGAUCGUAAUUGAUGAUGUAUGGGCUUCGUCAACAUGGGAAAUCGUUAAAUGUGCUUUGCCGGAUGCUUUUGGUCCUCAGCAUGAAUGUCCGCCAGAACUCACUGAAGUUUCAAAUAGUGUAUUAUAA
rnacentral:rRNA from 1 species